CAGAGUCUCACUCUUGUCACCCAGGCUGGAGUAUAGUGGCGCAAUCUCGGCUCACUGCAACCUCCACCUCCCGAGUUGAAGCAAUUCUACUGCCUCAGCCUCCUGAGUAGCUGGGAUUACAGAUGCCCGCCACCACGCCCAGCUAAUUUUUGUACUUUUAGUAGAGACGGGGUUUCGCCAUAUUGGCCAGGCUGGUCUCGAACUCCUGAUCUCAGUUGAAAUGGAUUCUGACUCUCCAAAUCUUGGCCCAAAUACUGAGCUGAUCUUUCCUGCCCUAAUUCCAGUAGAAUGGCACCUGACACAAUACUUUUGUGGAAGAGUACAUCACAUGAAAUGAAAACUAUAGAGAUGAACUAGAGAGACAAUGGAAUACUGUCCUUUGGCUGAGUCCUGCUGAAACCUGGUGGUGACACACAGAAGCAGGGUGAAUAUUCAAGAAAUACUGUUAAAUCACAAACUACUCAGAUGCAAACACAAGAGUGCAUGCUGGAACUGGCUUAUGAAACACAAGCCAGCUGGCUGCCCUAGAAAAAGUCUGAGGAAAAAGCCUUCUUCAUCUAAUUCAUAAAUGGGAAAUUGAAUUUCCAGGCUUAGCUGGCUUAUUUUUAUCUUCUUUUGUUUGUUUGAACUAUGUAUUGCUGAAUAACUGUGACAACAUUGAAAAGAGGGUUCAUGAGUAAAGCAAGAGUUGAUCUUUCACAAAUCAGUGCUAUAAUCAUUUCUAUGGGAGAGGCUACAGAUGAUUCCAUGCAGGGAGCACUCUGUAUGAAUGAUGUGGCCUCAGGCUAGAACACUUGAAAAGCAGCAAAGGAAAACUUUCUGCCCAACUUAUUAGAGGGGUGUGUGUGUGUGUGUGUGUGUGUAUCUCACAUGAAUAUAUUAUACAUAUGUAUAUAUAACAUAUAUAUAUAUACACACACACACCACUGGUGUUUAUUUUCACAUGCUUUUUUAUUUUUAUUUUAUUUUAUUUUUAAAAUAGAGACAGUGUCUUUCUCCGUCACCCAGGCUGGAAUGCAGUGAUGUAAUCAUGGCUCACUGAAGCCUCGAACUUGAACUCCUGGGCUCAAACGAUCCUCCUGCCUUAGCCUCUUGAGUAGCUAGGACUAUAGCCACAUCCUACUAGGUCCAACUAAUUUUAAUUAUUUUUUGUGUGUGGAGAUGGUGGGGGCGGGGUGUCUCUCUAUGUUUCCCAGGCUGGUCUUGAACUCCUGGCCUCCAGCAAUCCUUCUGCCUUGAGCUCCCAAAGUGCUGGGAUCAUAGGCAUGAGCCACCGUACCCAGCCUAGUUUCACACUUUUAUACACUCUCCCAAGUAUCACAGGGCUGGAAGCACUUUGAUUUUGGUGUAUUGGGUAUAAUUUAUGUUCUGUCAAUGAAAUGCAAUCAUGCAAUAUUCCAAAGGCAGAAUAGAGGCUCAGAGAACCCAUAUGUUAAAAAAAAUUAUUCCUUUGACAGAUAAAUAACACUUUUUCUAAUUUAUUGAUUUUGUAAAUUUGGAAUUGUGAAGAAUCUCCCCUCCCCCAAGAAAAACCUGUUUGUUCAGCAUUCCUUGCAAUGAUUGAAUCCUUUACCAGACAAACAAGAUGAAUGAAUUAUCUUUUCUUCUUUUCCUUUGGCUUACUUUUUCUGUGACAUUGUUUGAGAGACUGAGCACAGUAUUUUGAAACAGAUGACAGGGUUGUCACCUUUGAGUGGCACAAAUUUAGUAGCAACAGUAGGGCGUUUUAUGACAAUUUCUUUACAGUAUGAAAUCCAAAAGUUAUUCUCUGUGCCUUCAUGAGGAAAUGACAUUGAGUGGCAAUAUUUAAGAUGGUGAUUGGGAGGAAAGGCGAGUGUGAGAAGGGCAGCCUAAUUUUCAUGAAAUGAAACAGCCCUAGACUUGCAAAAUGAUAAUCGUAUUACUGAACAAUGUGAUGAUUCUCUCACAUGAAUUGUUCACUUCCAGGAGGCAUUCAAUCAGGCAAGCUAUCAAGAAGAUCUGGCCUUUGAUAAACACAUCCACUUUAAUAGCAGUUCCCGAGAUGAAAUGUUUGGAUUUAUGGCACCCAAUCACUGCAGCUUGAAAAUAUGAAAUAACUUGCUAGUGAACUGCCAUGAAAACCAUUACAUUAUGCUAGGGUCUUCCUUUUAGUAAGAUAUGGGAUGUUAUUAAUUGAUUAAUCUCCCUCCCUAUUCUUAAAAAUGAUUUAAGGAGGGUGGCCAUUUGCUACGAUGGAAAAGUACGGCUUCCUGGUCUGAUAUAAAAUGAGAAAUUGCCCAAGAUGAGCUCUAAGAUGUCUUCUACAUAACAUCUUCUAUGAUACAAUUUUUGGGAGUCUGUCCUUCAAAACUUCAUUACAAGGGGUCAUAUUAAGAUGAACUCUUAAUAAUAAGCCUCCUUAUGUGGGGCUCACAGAGACCUAGAUUCGUCCUAGAAUCCACUGGGAUUUGAACUGUCAUGAUUCUGAAGCUUACAUGGAUCCACAGAGUUGAUGUCAACUUAAUUCCUUGGAAAAUUAGGAGACAAAGAUUUGUUCUCUGUUCUUAUUCCUAACUUGGUGAGUUCCACUAAUGGUUGCUACCUUUCAGAGGCACAGACUUUGUAAUAACAGGGGAUGGCGCAUUACAAUUUCUAUGUUACACAAAUUCUAAAAUUAAGUUUAGUGAUUGGGAGGGAAGGUGAUUGAGAAAAGUAUACUUUUCAACUAAUGAAACAACAUUUAACUUCUGAGAAGGUACUUGUUGUAUUACUUAGCAAUGUGGAGUUUCAUCCCAGGCUGAAUAGAUUUCAAGGCAAACGGUGUCAGUUAUAAUAAUGCUGAGAAUUUUUUCUGGCCAAUGUUAUAUAAGAAAAGGUUUUAUUAAAGAAAGUUUAAGCAGCAUGAUUCAUAACAGCCAAAAAGCGGAAGCAACCCAAGUGUCCACAGCCAGAUCAAUGAAUAAACAAAAUGUGUUAUAUCCAUAAGAUGAAAUAUUUUUCAGCCUUAAAAGGAAGGAAAUUCUGACACAUGUUGAAAUGCUACAACAUGAAUGAAACUUGAAGGCAUGCAAUGUGAAACCAGACACAAAAGGACAAAUACUAUAUAAUUUCAUUGAUUUGAGGUACCUAGAAUAGUGAAAUUCAUAGAGAUAGAAAGUAGAAUGGAGGUGGCCAUGGGUUUGGGGAGUGGGGAAUGGGGAGUUAUUGUUUAAAGGCUACAGAGUUGCAGUUUGGAAAGAUGAAAAAGUUCUUCCCAAAGUUUUGGGAUGGUGGAUAGUGGUGAUGAAUGUACUAAAAGCCACAAAACCACACACUUACAAAUGGUUAAAAUGGCAAAUUAUAUAUGUUACACAUAUUUCACCACAAGUAUAAUACUAAAUUUAAAAAGAACAGAAAGAGUUUAAAAUGACUUCAACUACAUCUUCAUAUUUAUUCCUUUUCCUAAUUUAAGAGGGAAAUAAUUUCAGUUCCCCAGAGUUCUGUGUUUCUGGUAUUUUAAUGUGGAAUAAAAUGUUACCAACUCGUUUUUGCUUCUAUUAAGAUCUCGCUCUUGGUAGGCCACUGGCUUUGAGAAACAUCUUGUGUCUUUGAAUUCAGAUAAAAUAGAGUUACAGCUAAUUACAUCUUGGAUUUGUUUUACAAUUACAAAUAUAGAAGGUAGAUGAAGAAAAAUUAUGUUCCAAUCUUUGAAAACUGCCAUUUGGAAGAUUGUCUACAUGAUGGUUUACAUUAAAGGUGCAAUAUUAGCAUGGCUUUUUAUUACUAAAUAUAUUUUAAAAUAUACAUUUGGGCAUUAACUUUAAGAUACUUAUAAAAUAUUUUCUUAUUUGCUAAAGCGAAUCCCUUUGAUUUAUAAUAUACUUCUUGUCCAUUUAUAAAUAUUUAAUGAAACCUUACUCUUUUUUUUGCUUUUUAUGGUGCAUAAAAUAGAUUGAUAGUGUCUCAAAAGUUUUUUUAUUUUUCCAUUUUCUGUUAUAAAAAUAAUCAUGAAUACCUUUAUGUGUCAAAAUUUCAAGCCAAUACUACUGAAGUGAGAAUAAUUUUUCUACUUUUUAAAAGAAAAGUCACAAUCGUCUGUCAAGUGUUUUAAAAUUCAGAUUCUCAUUCAAAAAUUUGCAUGAGAUUUAUUUUAAAACAGUUUUUUUUCUUCCCAAGAUGAUAGUAAAAGAUAGGAGAGAAAAGAAAGAAAAGAUGGUAAAAGAUGAUGGUAAAAGACACGGCUUGACGCACCUACACAUACGCUGAUAGACUAUAGAGCACCUUAAUUUUUUUCCCUUUUUGAUCUCCUCACCUUUUUUUUUUUUUUUUUGAGAUAGAGUCUCACUCUGUCACCCAGGCUGGAGUACAGCAGCGCGAUCUCGGCUCACUGCAACCUCCGCUUCCCGGGUUCAAGGGAUUCUUCUGCCUCAGUCUCCUGAGUAGCUGGGACUACAGGCAUGCAC
rnacentral:lncRNA from 1 species